rnacentral:rRNA from 1 species
CAACCUUUGACAUGUCCCGUAUGGGCACCAGAGAUGGAGCCCUUCAGUUCGGCUGGCGGGAGCACAGGUGCUGCAUGGCUGUCGUCAGCUCGUGUCGUGAGAUGUUGGGUUAAGUCCCGCAACGAGCGCAACCCUCGCCCUUAGUUGCCAUCAUUCAGUUGGGCACUCUAAGGGGACUGCCGGUGAUAAGCCGCGAGGAAGGUGGGGAUGACGUCAAGUCCUCAUGGCCCUUACAGGUUGGGCUACACACGUGCUACAAUGGCGGUGACAAUGGGAUGCAAUGGAGCAAUCCUGCGCAAAUCUCAAAAAACCGUCUCAGUUCGGAUUGGGGUCUGCAACUCGACCCCAUGAAGUUGGAAUCGCUAGUAAUCGCAGAUCAGCACGCUGCGGUGAAUACGUUCCC